AAGCAAGACAUGUGUGGAGAAGAACCCCUUAGCUAGCCUUCCAUUAUCCAUUCAACCCAAAUUUGUUUAAAAAUCUAUUUAAGUUUUUAGUUUAUUCGUUUUUACUUUCAACUUCACCAAACUCAAAUCCCCCUUUUACUUUCUUGUUUUAAAAUCUUUUGUUUACAUUUAUAACUUUGUUUUUUUUUGUUUUUGAGUCAGUUUAGAGGUUUUAGCAAGCCCUCCUAAUCCCCGGUUUAGAACGAUCCCUACUUACAUACUUUGCUACAAUUGUCAAAAAGAGGGUUUAAUUUGAGUGUGCUUAUAUUUCUCGCAUCAAAUUUUGGCGCCGUUGCCGGGGAUUAGCAACUUUGCUAAAUCCCCAUUGUUUCUUUUUAUUUCUUUUUUGUGUGUUUUAAUUUUAGUUUUAAUUUUAUUUGAUUUUGUUUAUUUCAGGUACUAGUUUAUGACUCGUAGUUCUCAACCAAUUCGUGCACACAUAUCGGAGUUUGACGACAAUUUUGAACGAACUUUGAGAAGGAAAAGGAAAGAACCAGAACCUAAUCCACCUAGUUCUAGUUCUGAAUCCGAAUUUGAAGAAAAGGAGGA
rnacentral:lncRNA from 1 species